AUUACCCUAACAAUUUACACUUGCUAUACCCCAACUCUCCAAGUCAAGAUGUCUCUAGCCACCAAUCAACACUCUAUUGUUCAGCUAAAUGUGUCAGACCUUAGAUGAGUCACAAACCAACAUCAAAGUUUCAUGUAUGUCAUGCACAUGCCUUUUAUCUAACUUUUCAGCCAACAGCAUCAACUUGUUCACUUAAGACUGCCUGCCCACUCCGCCAACUCCUCCCAAGUCUUUGACUCUAAUUCUACCCUUUAUAAUCCCCACUAUAUCUAUGUGUAAAGUGCUACAUUCCUCAACACUGAACUACUGGCUUAAACUUUCCUGCCCAUACAUCAGUUCCAAACAAAUUGCAUCAAUGGAUCUACAAGGACACACAUCCAACACACAUCUCACAACCACUAUCUCCAAAAGAUCCUUUAUCAUACCCCAAGGAUUGCACGUCUGCUUCCUCACAGACUCAAUAUGUCGAGAUAUUAAAGACUACAUGCCAAAAGCACAAUGCUGGGUGCACCCAGGGACAACGCUUCUAAGAUCUGCUAUGCAACACACCAACCACUUUAAGACAGUACACAGCAACAGCAUUGUGAUCCUUCACAUCGGAACAAAUGACAUUGCAAGUGGAGCACCUGCAUCAACAGUCAUCCAACGCAUGAAAACUCUCAUAAAAAGAAUAUCCCUCACUAAUCCUCACAUCCUUUACUAUGGAAUCAGUGCUAUCUUACCACGUCCGACAGAUAACUCUACAACUAAAAACACUGUCAAAGAGUUCAACAGCUU